rnacentral:lncRNA from 1 species
UCCAGGUAUGGUCAUUGAUCACAGCCUCUACUCCAGAUACCUGCACUGGCCAUUUUCUUGGAUCCAGUUUGUUUUUUCAAGAAACAAUGCAGCAAACAAGAUUGUUAAAAGAGAAAGAAGCAAAUCAUGAGCAGGAAUUACCUGCUAUCAUUUGCAGGUAGGAGACCAGACAAAAAAAAAAAGAUAAUGUGACAUCACACUAAAGGAAAAUAGCACACUUUAAGGUAUAACUGAACAUUAAAAGCAAUUGAAAACUUUGCACUGGCAUAUCGAUCAUAUAGGUAACUGAUGCUUCAGUAUUUGCAUUACCUUCCAAUACAGGGUUUUGUCAAUCUAAAACCACAGCAUGGUCAAUUUUGUUCUCUUGAGUAUAUACCAGAUAGAACAUUAUGCCAGUAUCAAUUUUAAGUGGGUUUGAGUCAUUUCACUAUUCUUCUUUCAUGAAAUAACAUGCAGAUCUUCUCUGUGUCCGAUAAAAGUAUCAAUUUAGGUUCCAAACUAUUUUGGAAAGAAUCAAUUUUCGGUACAAUAAAGCAUUGUAAAUCAAGAGUAAUGCACUAAUCUCACAAUAACCUAUUUCCAAAAAUAGCAUUUAUAGUUCAAUGUCGAACAGACAAGCAAAAUUAAUGAUAAACAUAACCAAGAUGAGGGAAACUCGUUAAUCACAGGUGAUGAGGUGAUUGUCUUUAAAAUCCAUAGCCAUCACAUUUCUCAAAAGCUGCUAGUUUUCCAGUUUUAACUUGGCGUAUGGAGCAACAACUUCCCAAGUAGAGUUCCAAAACCUAAACAUCUCUGAAUUUACUAUUGAGGUUUGCUGCAAUGGAGCAAUAUAUGUUUGUUAUGUCUACAAACAGAUAGAGCAUGUACGCAUUUGUCCCCUAUUACAAGAUGAGGGAAACUCGUUAAUCACAGGUGAUUGUCUUUAAAAUCCAUAACCAUCACAUUUCUUAAAAGCUGCUACGUUUUCCAGUUUUAACUUGGUGAAUGGAGCAACAACUUUCCCAAGUAGAAUUCCAAAACCUAAACAUCUCUGAAUUUACUAUUGAGGCUUGCUGCAAUGAAGUAAUAUAUGUUUGUUAUGUCUAAACAGAUAGAGCACGUAUGCAUUUUCUCCUCUAUUACAAUGCUCUAUCUAUGAGACCAUGUUUUGUGGCACACAGAUGUGCGUAAAAUUCAAGAUACCUAACUGGAUGUUGGCACAUCAUUUUUCCAGAAAGAGAAGGCAUUUAACAGAGAGAUGAAGAGGAAGUUGGAAGAAAUGAAAGCCACAACCACUUCACUUAGAACUCAGAAAAUAGAGCAGAAAACAAAGCUCAAGGGUCUGGAAGCCACAGUUGCAAAUCUUAAGAAGACUCAAAAAGAAAUGGAAGCAGCUCUCGCAGAGAAAGACAACCGCAUCAACCUAAUGGAAGAGGCAGCCACAAAUCUUAAGAAGGCUCGAAGAGAACUGGAGGCAACUCUCACGGAGAAAGACAGACACAUCAGACAAAUGGACGAGAAGACCACAAAUGCUACGAACACUCAAAAAGAAUUGGAAGCAGUUCUCAAGGAGAAAGACAGCCGUAUCAGGCAAAUGGAAGAGAAAGCCAUAGGUUCAAACCCUGACCAGAUGGCAGCUCUGAUGGAAAUCCUGCAGCGGAAGGAGGCUGAACUUGAAGAGAUCAAGACUAGGUUCCAAGAUUUCAAGAAAAUAGACAGAGUAGAUGUGCAUAGUAAGAGCACUCCUGUGCAAACGAACAAUACUAGCACAACACCUAACACUGUGGUAGUAAGAAAGUCUAUGAACUCAAGCAGUGUGGCUAUUCCUGUCAAAUCUGAAGAAAAGAGAUCUGGCAAUACCACAGUAGUAGAAAGUGCCAAGCCUGAAGAAAAGAGACCUACCAAUACCACAGUAAUAGAAAGUGCCAAGCUUGAAGCAAAGAGGCCUGCCAAUACCACAGUAGUAGACAGUGCCAAGCCUGCAGAAAAGAGGCCUGCCAAUACCACAGUAGUAGAAAGUGCCAAGACUGAAGAAAAGAGACCAGCUAAUACCAUAGUAGUUGAAAGUAAGAGCUCAAAAGACAGAUCUCUAGAAGAAAAGCUAGUGAAGUUCAUGGCUAAUAUGGAAGAUGAUGGCAUACAAGGAAACUUAAAUGAUUUUGAUGACGAUAUAGAUUUUGAUGAUAUUUAUGGAGAAAGUCGUUCAAAAAAAUCUGGAUCCCCUCGAAGGAACAAGAAGUUCAUGACCAACGAUCUGGACGGCAUUGGACAGUCUGGGAACUCCCUAGAUCAGGACAGUGAUAGGGUUCGAUACAAUAGACUGCUGGAGAAGGAAAAUGCUAAACUUUCCAAGGAAACCAAGAAGAACAACACUAACGGUUCCUUGGAGAAGACCUCCAAAGCUAGCUUAGAUCAUGCUGGCCAUAACUCAUCAGAAAAGGUUGUGCAAAGGAUGGCUGGUGCUGCUGAUGUGAAGCCCAGCAUUAAUAUGCCACUGAACAAUGAUGAGGCAAAACAGCAAAACAGGAAGCAGAAGAAGAAAAAGUCUAAAUCCAAAAAGAAGAAGAUGGCUGAUACUGAAGAUACUAAUGUUGGUGGAGAAGUUGCUAAACAGAGGGCGACAGAUGCAACAUCAAUCUGAAACUAAGUUUUCGGAGCCCCAAAAGGCUGAAGAGAACCUCCUGGAUAUUCAGAGACAAGAAGAGCAAUGCCUUUCUGUAUGUUGAAAUGCUAUGAAAAAAAUGAAGGCAAAUUCCAUCACAGAAAAGAUGAAGGCAGAUAGUAGCUGAGACAAUAUAGUGGUCAAUUUAUAGCUCAUAGCAGCAGAUAGCUUAUUUCUAUAAUACUAUGAAUUGGUUUUGUUCUGAGAAAACGCUAAGAGUAUAUUGUUUUCAUAUCUUAUUUUCCUAUUGACAAAAGAAAUUUUGCGUUUGGUUCUUCAUGAAUUUGGGUAACAUUGUUCCAUUUUCUCUUCCCAGCAUUGUAAACUCGUGCUGCACGCUAUGGUUCCUGGAAGCAAGCGUUGAGAGUCCAUAGCCCCAGCAGCCCCAUACCCACACAAACAACAUGUACCUCAAAAUUAUAAAUUACAGCUACGGCUUCUGACAUUGCAGAUGCAUCCAGACUAAAUCUGCACAAUUCCCUUUGAUGGGGGCUAGACCCAGUCGGAAACUGCAAUUGGGAACGAGGGAAGCCCAACUGCCCGAGGACACAGCGUUCUGCCAAAGCUCGCAAACUACGAUCUCCAAUCAAAGCAAGAUGAGGAGCGAAACUGGGGAGUACCUGAACUGCUGCUCCGAGAUUUGAGCUUUUCGCGGGCACGAGGCACUCCGCCGGCUCCUCCUCCACCUUUCCCCGUCCGCCGGAGUACCGCAUCCCGUUACGGUCGCCGGUGUCGCGCGCCUCCAUUGCUUUGACCCGUUGGACCCGUGUGAAUCUGUGCACACUAGCGAUCGCGCGGUUACGGGGAACCCAAAGGUUGAACCUGAGACGCAUACUGACGCGCGCGGACGUGGCGGCCUUGAGAGAUGGGGA